GCCUGGGUGGCUCAGUGGUUAAGCGUCUGACUUAGGCUCAGGUCAUUAUCUUACGGUUCGUGGGUUUGAGCCCCGCAUUGGGCC
rnacentral:tRNA from 1 species